rnacentral:rRNA from 1 species
UACGUAGGGGGCAAGCGUUGUCCGGAAUCAUUGGGCGUAAAGCGCGUGUAGGCGGCUCGGUAAGUCUGCUGUGAAAGUCCAGGGCUCAACCCUGGGAUGCCGGUGGAUACUGUCGAGCUCGAGUCCGGAAGAGGCGAGUGGAAUCCUGGUGUAGCGGUGAAAUGCGCAGAUAUCAGGAGGAACACCAAUGGCGAAGGCAGCUCGCUGGGACGUGACUGACGCUGAGACGCGAAGC